ACGGGUGAGUAACACGUAGGUGACCUGCCCCGAAGUGUGGAAUAACAGUCCGAAAGGAUUGCUAAUACCGCAUGUGGUCUGUGAGGUUAGAGUCUUGCAGACUAAAGCAGUAAUGUGCUUCGGGAGGGGCCUGCGCCCCAUCAGCUAGUUGGUAGGGUAAUGGCCUACCAAGGCAACAACGGGUAGGGGGCCUGAGAGGGUGACCCCCCACAUUGGCACUGACACACGGGCCAAACUCCUACGGGAGGCAGCAGUGAGGAAUAUUGCUCAAUGGGCGAAAGCCUGAAGCAGCAACGCCGCGUGCGCGAUGAAGGCCUUCGGGUCGUAAAGCGCUUUUGAGAGGGACGAGAUAGGACGGUACCUCUGGAAUAAGUCACGGCUAACUACGUGCCAGCAGCCGCGGUAAAACGUAGGUGGCAAGCGUUAUCCGGAUUCACUGGGCGUAAAGCGCGUGCAGGUGGCUUCGUAAGUUGGACGUUAAAUCUCCCGGCCUAACCGGGAGGAGUCGUUCAAUACUGCGGGGCUGGAGGGCAGAAGAGGGGGGUGGAAUUGCUGGUGUAGUGGUGAAAUGCGUAGA
rnacentral:rRNA from 1 species